AUUGAACGCUGGCGGCAUGCCUUACACAUGCAAGUCGAACGGUAACGCGGGGCAACCUGGCGACGAGUGGCGAACGGGUGAGUAAUGCAUCGGAACGUGCCCGGUAGUGGGGGAUAACUGCUCGAAAGAGCAGCUAAUACCGCAUACGACCUGAGGGUGAAAGGGGGGGAUCGCAAGACCUCUCGCUAUCGGAGCGGCCGAUGCCGGAUUAGCUAGUUGGUGGGGUAAAGGCCCACCAAGGCAACGAUCCGUAGCUGGUCUGAGAGGACGACCAGCCACACUGGGACUGAGACACGGCCCAGACUCCUACGGGAGGCAGCAGUGGGGAAUUUUGGACAAUGGACGCAAGUCUGAUCCAGCAAUGCCGCGUGCGGGAAGAAGGCCUUCGGGUUGUAAACCGCUUUUGUUAGGGAAGAAAUCCUCUGGGCUAAUACCUUGGGGGGAUGACGGUACCUGAAGAAUAAGCACCGGCUAACUACGUGCCAGCAGCCGCCGUAAUAC
rnacentral:rRNA from 1 species